AGAAUGGGUGAAGGAAUUAAAGCGACAUGUACAUAUUAAUAAAUGCCGAGAUUUAGAUAAAAAGAAAGGAGAUUUUGAUGAAAGUAAUUUGCAAGAAUUGUAUGACAUAUUGACUAAAGAAGAAAUACCCCCUUGGGAUAUACUUGGUGCAUCUUUGGGCCUUUUAAAUGGUACACUAAAAAGAAUUCAAAGCUACAGUGAGAAUAAUGAAAUUCGUUUGAGGGAGUGCUUAUUGCACUGGUUAAAAUGGAGUGAUUGUGUUGACGAUACAGGAGGACCUACAUGUGACAAUCUAAAAGAAGCCUUGACAUGUAUAGGGAAACCAGAAAUUGCAAAAAGACUCGAUGAAAAAGUCUCAAAAACUAAAGAUACUCCCUACAGUAUACAAGAUAUUAAAGAAGAUG